rnacentral:tRNA from 1 species
GAAACCGUCAGACUGUGAAUCUGAAGAUAGGCUGUAAAAAUCCUUAUUUACC